CGCUAGUGGUAAAGAACCCGCUUGCCAAUACAGUUUGCCAAUAGACAUAAGAGUCGCAGGUUCGAUCCCUGGGUCAGGAAGAUCCCCCUGGAGAAGGGCAUGGCAACCCACCCAGUGUUCUUGCCUGCAGAAUCCCAUGGACAGAGAGCCUGGCGGGCUACAGUCCAUGGUGUCGCAAAGAGUUGGACACGACUGAAGCGACUUGGCAUGCACACAAGCGCUAUUACAGCCAUCUCACAAGAAAACAAUGAACGAAUAUUUUAGCCACCAUAGGACACUGAUGCAGAGAAGGCCCUGUGAGGACACAGCAAGAAGGCAAAUGUCUACCUGCCUAGGAAAAAACAGACCUUGCUGACACCGCAAAUUGGAGCUUCCAGCCUCCAAAAUUAUGAGACAAUAAACACCUUUUGCUUAAGCCAUCCAGUCUGCAGUGGUUAGAGUGGCCCUAGCAAGCUAAUAUUUUGCUUUUCUCACACAGGUGCGCACAAAGCUCCAACUCUGUUUAGCUCUGAUGUAUGGCACUGGGUUGCAAAUCCAUAUCUGGUUCUAGAAGCUUCUUCUGAGGUUGCUCUUCAGAGGUCUCCACCUCACCCUUGCCUCACCCCAAGUGGAACUCCUGACAGCAGAGAGGGGUGAACACAGGCUCUGGCCUCUACUGCAGCCCUAGGGCAAACAGAUAGCGGCAAGACUCAAGUUACAGUUCCCGGAGGCUUCCAGAAUUUCCUUUCUUUAGCAAACAUAGACCUGAUCCCUUCCUGCUUAAAAUCUCCCCGGCUGCUCCUGCUUUCAGUGGGCCCGAGUCUACACAGAGCAGCGCAUAGACGGUCUCCCGCCUGUCGUCCAGUCCUGCACCCUUCACACUUGCCAAGUGAGAGUCGCUGGGCCUCUGUCCACCUCCAGACCUGGACACAGGCAGUGCUUGUCACCCCGGUGUCACUCCUUAGUCCACUUUUGCUUGUAGCCACCUCUGUCUGGAGAACUCCUGUUAUCCUUCAAGAACCAUCGCCAACAUCCCUUCCUUCAUCAGAUUUCCAAACACCUCUCUGCUCCCAGGGUGCUUCACUGCCCCCAUCAGAGCAUUUAUCACCUUGUAAUCUGGAGUUUGCAGUGACUUAUUUGUGUCUAUUUCCCUGCUAGAUCAGGAACCCCAUCAGGGCAGGAAGAGACCAGGUCUGAUAACAUUUGCUGCUCCGGGGCUGGGCACACAGUGGUGCCCCUGGUGAGCAGACUGAAUGAAGGAAUGGCAGAAAGAAGCAGGUGGUUCGAACUAAGCCAGGUGCCUCGUGCGCCUCCUCCCACUGAAUCCUCACACAGCUGAGGAGGCACAGGGUAACAGGAGAGCCAGCCACCCUCUCUGCCCUGCGUGGCUUGGGAUACUGACACCAAACCACAGAGCGUCCCGUACCUGAACAAUUUGCGUUUUCUGGGUCCACAAUGAGCUCUACAUGAACAUACAUUGACUGGUCAUCACGCAGGUAUUCUUGUCUGGUCUUCAUCUUUUUUCUGGUCUAUCUCCAUGGAUACCUGGGAAUGUUGGCUGCUGCUGCUGCUGCUGCUGCUGCUGCUGCUGCUGCUGCUGCUGCUGCUGCUGCUGCUGCUGCUGCUGCUGCUGCUGCUGCUGCUGCUGCUGCUGCUGCUGCUGCUGCUGCUGCUGCUGCUGCUGCUGCUGCUGCUGCUGCUGCUGCUGCUGCUGCUGCUGCUGCUGCUGCUGCUGCUGCUGCUGCUGCUGCUG
rnacentral:lncRNA from 1 species